rnacentral:rRNA from 1 species
UACGUAGGUGGCAAGCGUUGUCCGGAUUUACUGGGCGUAAAGAGCGCGCAGGCGGUCGUUCAAGUCGCGUGUGAAAGCCCCCGGCUCAACUGGGGAGGGUCACGCGAUACUGGUCGACUCGAAGGCAGGAGAGGGUAGUGGAAUUCCCGGUGUAGUGGUGAAAUGCGUAGAUAUCGGGAGGAACACCAGCGGCGAAGGCGACUACCUGGCCUGUUUCUUGACGCUGAGGCGCGAAAGCUAGGGGAGCAAACGGG